GAUGAACGCUGGCGGCGUGCCUAAUACAUGCAAGUCGAGCGAACGGACGAGAAGUUUGCUUCUCUGAUGUUAGCGGCGGACGUGUGAGUAACACGUGGAUAACCUACCUAUAAGACUGGGAUAAGUUCGGGAAACCGGAGCUAAUACCGGAUAAUAUUUAGAACCGCAUGGUUCAAAAGUAAAAGACGGUCUUGCUGUCUCUGAUAGAUGGAUCCGCGCUGCAUUAGAUAGUUGGUAAGGUAACGGCCUACCAAGGCAACGAUGCAUAGCCGACCUGAGAGGGUGAUCGGCCACCCGGGAACUGGAACGCGGUCCAGAGGACUAAGGGAGGGCGCAGUAGGGAAUCUUACGCAAUGGGCGAGAGCAUGACGGAGCAACGCCGAGUGAGUGGUGGAGGUGUUCGGAUCGUAAAACUCUGUUAUGAGUGAAGAACAUAUGUGUAAGUAACUGUGCACAUCGUGACGGUACCUAAUCAGAAAGCCACGGCUAACUACGUG
rnacentral:rRNA from 1 species